GUCUCAGUGGCGUAGUGGUUAACGCACGGUUAGGCGCAAGACGCGGGUUCGAAUCCCGUCUGGGAUG
rnacentral:tRNA from 1 species